UAAGGUAAACAUGAUGAAGAGAUGGGAUAUGACUGUAAAGAUGAAACUUUAAGAAGAUUCUAAAAAAGAAAUUGAUAAGAAGUUGGUUGAAAAAAGAAAAAAGAAAGAAUGAGAUCAGGCUGGAGACUAGAACAAAGCCAUGCACUAGAUUUAGGGUAUAUUUUGAUCAAUUAGAAAAAAUUGUAUCCCAAAAUUUUAAAGAGAAAAAACCUAUAUGUAUACAAAAAAUAAGGUUAAAUAGAAUGAAGGGAUAAAAUAUGACUAUAACAAUGAAAAUUUAAAAAGAUUUUUAAAAAGGGAUUGAUAAGAUAAAAUAGUUAAAAAAACAUUAAAAUCGGAAAGAGGAAAUUUUUAAAAAAUAGCACAAGAAAAAAAUCAAAUUUAAAAAUUUAACUUUGAAAGACUAAAGGAUCAUGGGGAAAAAGCCAUGAAUUCUAUGUGUUGUUUUCCUCAGCUUUCGAGUUCGCAGUUCUUGUUGGUUGGUGAACUUGGUCGGUGAACUUGGUCUUGGCUGGAUGUUCUUGCUGAUCUGUGGGAGGGGCCUGUUGUCAUGACUUUUUGUCUUUGCCCAAGGAGGAAUUGCACCACCCUUGUGGGGGGCCAGGCUGAGUAAUCUGCUUGGGUUGGCUCUCAGGAGAUUUGUUCCCUGAGCGCUUUCCAUAGAGCUCUGGAGGACGGGAAUGAAAAUGGCGGCCUCCCAGUCUCUGCUUGGAGGAGCUGAGAGCCCGCGGCCCACUCCUCAGUGUGCCCUGGGAGAAAAGCGCUCAAUCCCUCCCAUCUCCCUGGUCUCCGGCUGCACUCCGAUCUCCCCUGGCCUGUGACUGAGUGUUUAUGUGUCUGGCACACAGCCCCGUUUUGAGUCUCCAAACCCAGCAGAUUCCUGCGAUAUGCUCCUUUGCCGCUCUACCAGAAGAGGAAGGUUGAAUUCUUGGGGAGCAGUCUCUGAGACAGAGACUAGCAUGCAAAGUGUUUAUUAAAGAGUGAUCCUUGGAUGAUCCCCUGUGGAAGAGACAAGAAUGAAAUGGGAUGGACAGAAGGACAAAUUGAACAACUUCAACGAAUUCUCCUGCCAAACCCAUGGACACCAGUCACAACUGAAUCCGAUACCACCUUGUCCUAACUCAAUGACAUCUGCAAAGACCCUCUCCCAAAAAAGGCCAUGUUCACAGG